AUACGGAGGGGGCUAGCGUUGUUCGGAAUUACUGGGCGUAAAGCGCACGUAGGCGGACCAGUCAGUCAGAGGUGAAAUCCCAGGGCUCAACCCCGGAACUGCCUUUGAUACUGCUGGUCUAGAGGUCGAGAGAGGUGGGUGGAAUUCCGAGUGUAGAGGUGAAAUUCGUAGAUAUUCGGAGGAACACCAGUGGCGAAGGCGGCUCACUGGCUCGAUACUGACGCUGAGGUGCGAAAGCGUGGGGAGCAAACAGGAUUAGAAACCCCAGUAGUCC
rnacentral:rRNA from 1 species